rnacentral:misc_RNA from 1 species
AAUACAUCAAAUUAGAUGUUAUUUCGUAAUUAAUAAUUUAUUUUGGUAUAAUUUAAAAAAAAAAUUCAAAUUAGAAAGUAUUAUUGGGGUAAUGGCCGUUGUCGUUACUUAACUGUAAAUGACAGCCGUUACCGUUAUGUAACAGUGGUAAUGAUCAUUACCCGUGCAAAUCAAUAUAUGAUUUUAAAUAACGGCCUAACGAGUGACGGUCUCUCUAAAAAUCUAUAAAUAACGGUCAAUACGUUAUUUAAAACCAUGCUUCCGAGUGAUAAAUUUUACUAUCCUUAUUUUGAGUGUUACUUCAGUUAAAGUAUUAGUCAUGUUGAAGUUUUACAUGUGUUUCUCAAGUUCGGAUCCUGUUUUAUGUCAUUAAAUUUGUGUGGAACCACAGCAGACUCAGUAACACUGGUUAGGGAGCUGGCAAGUAGUGUUGCUAUAGAUAAUAGAUUCACCUGUAGGCUGUAAUUUUGUCAUUGUAUAUUUCUUACCUUUUGCAUAGUUUUGCAAUUAAGUUUUUGUUGCAUGUUGUAUCUCCUUUAAUGGUCCAUUUAUAUCAACUUUAGUCUUUAGGACCAGAAAUUCGCUGCUAGAGAAAAUAACAGACCUUAAAUCAAGUAAUUUUAGGCAAAAUAACACAUUCCUGAAAAAACAGUGGCCUGUUUUAAGCAACGAAAAAUGGUUGGUUUAAUAUAAGGAUUUUAAGUCUUUGUUUUGCUAGAGAAUCAAGUGCUUGUAUCCAUGGGAUGCUUUUUCUUGAUCCAUUUGUAGCUGAUCUUAAAACAGCCAACGUUUAGUUAGGAAACCUAUGUUAAGAUGGUAAGUUUUAAGCUGCUUUUGAUCAUAAUUUUGGCUUUGUUAAUUUCAGGUGUAAUUGCAGUUCAACAUUCU